rnacentral:rRNA from 1 species
AAAGGAAUUGACGGGGGCCCGCACAAGCAGCGGAGCAUGUGGUUUAAUUCGAAGCAACGCGAAGAACCUUACCAGGUCUUGACAUCCGUUGACCGCCGUAGAGAUAUGGUUUUCCCUUCGGGGACAGCGAGACAGGUGGUGCAUGGUUGUCGUCAGCUCGUGUCGUGAGAUGUUGGGUUAAGUCCCGCAACGAGCGCAACCCCUAUGUUUAGUUACUACCAUUAAGUUGAGGACUCUAGACAGACUGCCCUUGAAAAAGGGAGGAAGGUGGGGAUGACGUCAAAUCAUCAUGCCCCUUACGACCUGGGCUACACACGUGCUACAAUGGUCUAUACAGAGGGUAGCGAAAUAGCGAUAUGAAGCCAAUCCCAAAAAGUAGACCUCAGUUCGGAUUGCAGGCUGCAACUCGCCUGCAUGAAGUCGGAGUUGCUAGUAAUCGCGAAUCAGAAUGUCGCGGUGAAUGCGUUCCCGGGCCUUGUACACACCGCCCGU